UACGUAGGGGGCAAGCGUUGUCCGGAUUUACUGGGCGGAAAGGGCGUGCAGGCGGUCUGUUAAGUGCAGGGUGAAAGCUCCCGGCUCAACUGGGAGAGGUCCUUGCAUACUGGCGGACUUGAGGGGGGUAGAGGAAAGUGGAAUUCCCGGUGUAGUGGUGAUAUGCGUAGAUAUCGGGAGGAACACCUGUGGCGAAGGCGGCUUUCUGGGCCCUACCUGACGCUGAGACGCGAAAGCGUGGGGAGCGAACCGG
rnacentral:rRNA from 1 species